rnacentral:rRNA from 1 species
AGCAGUCGCCGCGGUAAUACGGAGGGUGCAAGCGUCAAUCGGAAUUACUGGGCGUAAAGCGCAGGCAAGCGGUUUGUUAAGUCAGAUGUGAAAUCCCCGAGCUUAACUUGGGAACUGCAUUUGAAACUGGCAAGCUAGAGUCUUGUAGAGGGGGGUAGAAUUCCAGGUGUAGCGGUGAAAUGCGUAGAGAUCUGGAGGAAUACCGGUGGCGAAGGCGGCCCCCUGGACAAAGACUGACGCUCAGGUGCGAAAGCGUGGGGAGCAAACAGGAUUAGAUACCCGCGUAGUCCCUGUCUCUUAUAC